rnacentral:lncRNA from 1 species
UGCGCUGGAUAGAAUGUUUUCUCACUGGUGCCUUAAGGUCCAGUGACGAUUGGCACCUCCAGCACGGUCAGAGAAACUUCAAUCGUACCGAAGCAUGAGAUCCAAACCUACUACAGAGGCAGUUGAAGCUUCAAAUCGUGCCGUCUCGUUGAUAAUCGAUGAUCCAAAUUGAGCCUAAGACCAUUUCCCCUCUUAGUUUAAAAUGAUCAACAGUAAUUGCUCAAGACAAGUUUGGUCUACUUUACACAGGUUUAUUCAUAUUCUGUUCUAUGGAGAUAGGGUGUAAAUGAAUCGAAAAUGAAUGAACUUUGUUAUGUUAGUAAUCAAUUUGUUUAAUUAACGAAACUGAAUGCUUUCUUUGUUACAAUGCUCUCUUUUCCUUUAUUAUACUUAUUAUUCACUAUUUUAAUUGUAAAAAUGAUAUUCAUGAAUUGCUGCCGCAGACCGGCUAAUGAACCUCUCCAGGAAUUUAAUUAAUUAAUUCAAAGAAAUAGCAUGCAUGACUUGAGAAGUAGUCAUGCAAGAAAGCCUUGGGAAGAUUCAAGAAUUGUGGUUUUGCAUCUCUGGAUAAGUUUCAUUGUCUUAGUUGACACAGUUCAAUCUGAGAUGCUUGCACGCUCAAACACAUUAAUAUAGUUAACAACACGUUAAUAAAUUACAUUAAUGUAGAUCAAUCUCAGAUACAUGGAAAUAUUUCUUUUGAUUUUUGUUUUAAAGUCAAUAUAGUUAAAUAAACAAAGAAAAUAUUUGGUAUGUAAAGAUUGACCAGUUCCAUUGCAAUUUGUUGAUGCAAACAUGGGAAGAUUAAAUACGAAAAGGAUAAAGGUGCAGUAGCUGCACAAUGAAUCAUUCAGAUUUUUUAAAAACAAUUAAUCACUGCAGACUUGGUAAUCUUUCAUCUGUUUUCUUUUUUUGUUUUCUCAAAACAAUAAUUCAAUAAUGAAAAUGUAUAAACCUGUUCAGUGAGUGCUAUCUAUAAAUAGCAUGCUUUCAUGCCAGAUCUUUCACUCCUCACCAGGCAAAAAGCUUAGAACAAUUUAAUCAAGAAAGCUUCCAUACAACAAUGAAAGGUGUUCAUUUCCAUGUAGCAUUUGUCCUGUUGGCUCUGGCUGUCACAUUUGCCUCUGCCUCUAAUCCCAGCCCUCUUCAGGACUUCUGUGUAGCAAUUAAUAACACCAACGAUGGUGGUAUGUACUUUAAUUCUCUCUCCGACUUCUUUGGAAUGUAUUCAUGUCAACACCUAAACUAUUUGAGAAGUGUUAUCUCAUUUUCUGUAUGGAAUUGUAUCAAAGUGUUAAUAUUUUUCUUUCCGUUUUUGCAGUUUUUGUUAAUGGCAAGUUUUGCAAGGACGCAAAGCUCGCCUCCGCAAAUGACUUCUAUUUUCCGGGCUCAACAUUCUAGGAAAUACAGCAAAUCAACUAGGAUCAAAAGUCACUCUAGUCACCGUUGAACAAAUACUAGGACUUAACACUCUUGGCAGAUCUCUUGCUCGACUUGACUUUGCACCCAACGGUGGCCUAAACCACCCCCCCCCCCCCCCCCCACACACACACUCAUCCUAGAGACACAGAAAUCCUAGUCGUUUUGGAGGGCACACUCUACGUUGGCUUUGUUACAUCCAACCUGGAUAAUCGACUUAUCACCAAAGUCCUAUACCCUGGAGUUGUUUUCGUUUUCCCAAUAGGCCUCAUUCACUUCCAGUUCAACAUAGGGAACACGAAUGCUGUUGCCAUUUCUGGUCUUAGCAGCCAAAACCCAGGGCUUAUCCCCAUUGCAAACGCAGUCUUUGGCUCAAACCCUCCCAUCAAUCCUGAUGUUCUUGCCAAGGCCUUCCAGUUGGACAAGACUGUGGUUACCUAUCUUCAGUCCCGAUUCUAGUGAGAUACCAGCUAGAGGAAAAUUUAUACACCCAUGAAAUUUAUUUAGCAGCUUGUUCGUAAUAAUGUUCAACUUGUUUCUCUCAUUGAAUUUAGUAUAAUUCUUGGGUUGAAAUGUAUAAAAUAAAGAAGCCGUUUAUGUUCUUUGGUUUAUGCAAUCAUCUCUGUAUUUUAUUUUGAUCGAUAUAAUGUGGAAAAUUGCAUUUUGUUUUUAGUUUGGACCCACCCCUUCUUCAUCUAGGGAAAUGAAUGCAUCAGAUGAUUGUUUUUUUUCUUUUCUUCCUUUUUGGGGUAUUGGACUUUGACAUGGCAUUCACUCAUUGGUUUGCCAGUUACAACAGCCGUAACACGGUCAGGAUUCAAGGAUCAUCCGUACAACCAUCAAAAGUUCUAUAUAAACCGUCAACAGUUUUUCUGCCUUUUUCCUGUUCCCUCUUCCCCUGCGUUUCAACCAAUGAGCACAAUCUCUCUAACCAAGAUUGAAAACUGAAGAAUCCACAAAGGCAGAACUCAUGGGUGAAAUGAACCAAGAAGCAGACUUUUGAAGUUCCGAACCAAGAAGAAGAUGAUGUUCAACUCCAAGAAUCCAUCAACCUCUCCCUACUACACCUUGACAGCUUCAAGAACAACUACCAAAACCACCAUCCAUGCACAACCUGUGCCUCAAAUGUCAUCGUUUUCUACCCAAUGAAACGUCCUUCUCCUGAACCAAUCUCAGAACCCAAGUCCAAAAAGCCUUCACUGGACAACCUCCAGUACUUCCUCAAAAGUUUAUAUUUCAUACAGGUUCCUAUUGGUCAUAUUUAUAUUACUAUUUUACUAGUAAAAUAUAAUUUAAAACGAGGUUCGUAUUUAUAUUUGAGGAAAAAAACUGGCAUUCUCCAUAUAAUUCAAAGGCAUAAUGCUCGCUUGUUUAUGAUAUCAAUAAUUCUGGUAAUAAAUUAUCGUGAUGGGGUUAACUUUGAUCAGACUUCGAUAUUGCUCAGAGCAGAAUGUACCAUAAAAGUUGCAUAAGGUUCGGUCAGUUGCUUGAUAGACAUCUACUGAAACCAUAUAUCCGGGAAAUGGUUUGCUUAUCAUUUGCAAUAGUUAUAUGGUGACAAUCCCAGCAGCAGUUGUUCUGACUAAUCCAUUGACCUCAAGGAAGGCCCUGAACUUGAAGCUGGGUAAAAAAAUACUUGCUACUGCAAUGCCAAGAGAUUCUCAUGAAGGGUCAAGGCCCAUAAUCUUUUCGGGUACCUAUGAAGAUCAGUUGAUUGACGGAAAUAUAUUCCAUGCAUUAUUUGUAAUCUCAGUAUUCAAUUUUCUGAAACUAUGAUUAAAUGUCUCUCUAAAUCUUCUUUGAAGCACAGUGUCUUCGACUGGUUGUAAACAAAUUUAGUGUGUUCUGUAUUCUGUAUUCUGGCAAAUUAAGUUUGGGACUUUCCUAAAUAAUUUGUUGAACAAUAAAAUCAACCAAGUUUGGAAAUCCUCUGAUAUUUUGCAUAAAUUCACAUGGCUAAUUCCAAAACCUUAAUUAAAGUAUCUUCCAAGGGGUGCUUUCAAUGAGAUCUAUAUAAAAGUUGAGAUUUGGUCUGAAUUUGGAGCAAGCUGUAAUAAAGUAAAAAAAAUUCAAAAUCAGCAUACAAGGAGGGUUAGAUCAGCAGAGAUAGACAAGCAAUAUAAAGUUUUUAUGCAUUGGUUCUGUGUUACCUUCAAGGAAACAAGUGCUAAAACCAAGUUUAUAUCCGAUAACCUGCGGUCACAAGUUUAUAUCUGCACAAAUUAUGAGUAAAUCAUAAUUUGCUACUGACAAGUUGCCACUUGUUUGAAAUUAAUAUUUAUUAAAAAAAUUUAAAGGUUGUCGGUUACUAUUUAGUAAGUUUAUAGAUAUAUAGAAAGUGCAUAAAAUAUCAUCAAAUAUAAACUCAAAAACAGUUUUGCAUAGUCUUCUUCAUAUAUCUUUUUCUUUUUUAAAUUCAUUAUUUUCAAUAGAGAAAUAAUUUAAUGUAUAUCUGGAGUAGCUUCAAAUAUCUAGCAGUUUUGUCUGCUAAAACUCAAUUUAUUCUUGUAGUUAGCAUGAUCUAAGAUGUGUUAAUGAGACAAAAACUAAUGCUAGAUUUAAGGCUUCUGAUUUUAUCUCAAAUCAAUAUGUUAUAUGGUCUCAGUUGACAAAGUCUGUUCUGACAUGUUCCUUGAUGCUUAAUCGUAUAUGACAUCUGUGCUUAUCACAUUCACAACAUUAUUAAUUUCUUGCAACUUCAAUUAAGCAUGCUACAUUGAAAUUUUCCUGGUCUUUUGAUCACUUCAGUUAGCGAAAACUGAACGGGGCUGCUUUAAUUGACCUCUGAGAACUAUUCCUUGAUAUUCAUAGCCGACUUAAUAUUCAAAAAUUUUUUACAGUAAUGACUUGAAUUUUGCCUAGUUAGGCUUUCACAUGUGACAGAAGAUUAAACUUGAAGGCUUCUGUUACCUCAAAGACAUUGAAUCAAAUUUUUGUGAGUGAUAACAAACGGGGAUUGUAGAUAGGAUUUAGAGGAUAUAGGAAAAAAAAAAUCCUUGGUAAAAAGAUUGUUGAGGGUUUUUUCAAAAUAGAGAUGUGUUUCUGAUAUUUUUAUGCAGAUGCAUGAAAAUCUCUGUAGUGCCCUAAAUUUAAACAAGUGGCAAAGACUAAAGAGUUCUGGUAGAAGAAAUGAAAUUACUACUACAAUUUUUAUUCACCUGAUCAUUCAUGUCUCUGGGAAAUUUGCAGAAAGAUUGCGUCUUUUCCUGAUUCUUCAGUUCAGCUCAGAAUGAGUUUCAGAGCAAGAUUUAUCCACGAUGCAGAAGAAAGAAAAAGGAAAGAAAAACGAAUAGAGGUUGAGAAUUGUUGGGUGAAAAUGACUUCAAAUUCUUUAAUCCGGAAUUGCAAUUUGCUAGACAGCAAGAGUAUUUUAGUAAAUUGUUAUAUCACCAUCAAUAACUGACCGUGUGAUUCUUUAAUUAACUCAUGUCAUUAUUUAACAAAUGAACAUCACCAUUUUAUCCAAUCAUCCAUAACAAAAUACAAAAUAAUUGUUUUGAACCAUUGACCAGAAUUGUUGACAGCCUAACAAAAUACAAAUUGCAAUAAGAACUUGAAUCUCCAUUUGUUCAAACUUUAAACACAAAGACAAAAGACACUAGUUCGUUUUUUAGUGUCACUCCCUUCAUGAUUUAACUUACUAAACAUAAGCAUAGACAGACUAAUUAAUAUAGGAAAAAGGGAGACAUUAACAAAGUGGAGGUACAAGAUUGAAAAAUAGAGAAUGCAUGAAAAUUAUUCAAAACAAAGAAGACAAGGGGUACACUUUAUUCAAGGAAUUUCUUGAUCAGUUGUUAUCCCAUCAGAACUGAGUCUGAAGAUAUUUCACCACUUUCUUGUCCAGUUCGAAGGCUUUACUAAGAACAUCAGGAUUGAUAGGUGGUUUAGAGCCAAAGACUGCAUUUGCAAUUGGGAUAACACCUGGAUUUUGGCAGCUGAGACCAGCUAAGGCAAUGGCAUUAGUUUUCCCGACAUUGAACUGGAAGUGAAUGAGACCAACAGGGAAAACCAACACAUCUCCUGUCUUCAGGACCUUGAUGAUGAAGCGAUUGUCCGGAUUGGAUGUCACAAAGCCAACAUAAAGUGUACCCUCUGCCACAACUAGGAUCUCUGUGCCACGAGGGUAAGUGUGAGGAGGGUUUAGGCCACCAUUAGGUGCGUGGUCAAUUCGAGCCAGGGAUACCAAGAGUGUUAAGUCCUGGUAUUUGGUCAACAUUUACAGGAGUGACUUUUGAUCCCACUGCAUUUGAUGUGUUUGCUGCUUCAUCGAGCCCGGAAAAGAAGAAGUCAUCUGCAGUGGCAAGCUUUGGAUCCUUGCACAACUUACCAUUUAGAAACACUGGAUGAAAAGAAAACGAUGAUGGUUAAUACAACCAGAAGCAAAAGUUAGUGUACAUGGUAAGGUUAUCGUGAUGAACUAAAUGCAUACCAGCAUUCUUGGUGCCAUUGACGUUUACACAGAAGUCCUGGAGAGGGCUAGGGUCUGAGGCUGAGGCAAAUGUAGAAGCCAAAGCCAGGAGGGAGAAAGUUACAAAGAAAUUGUUCACUCCUUUCAUUUUGGAUCACUUUGCUAUAUACUUCUAGUACUUCUUUGCUAUUUGCUUGGAGGAGAGGUGAGAAAUUUUACUUGGCAAACAAGGACUAUAUAUCGAUGAAGAUCCAGUACAGUGGUCCUCAUUAUCCCAUAUAUUCCAGUUUUGUUUAUGCUAUAUUCGCCAAGAAUAUUUUUCAUCUAGAGGUAGGUUACAGUAUUGAACCCAUAUAUGAACUUUUCAUUUGGAUAAUUGAGAUUUGAUAUUUUCGAAGUUUCCAACUUAUGAGAUUCUAACUGCUUUGAUUCAAAGAUUUCAGAUUUUGUCCCAUAACAAGAAUCUUACAAGUUUGAAUUUAAAUAUUUAUAUAUAUAUAUAUAUAUAUCAUAGUAGAACUUUAGAUUAUUCUGAUAUGAAAUUGGGACAUUACAAACUCUUCUUAAUACAAAACACAUAAAUCCAUCGAAUCACAGUAAACGUUGUGUAAGCCCAACACAAAGCAUACACAAAUUACAAGAUCACACAAGAUGUUGAGAUUUCAUCGUGUUGGAAUAUUAUUUAUGAAGACUCGCAUCUAACUUGCGAAGUGUUAGCUGUUUUAAUAAGAAAAUCUCACAGUUUUAUCCGAUAAAAAGCGCUUUACAAUUUGUUGAGAAUACUCCAUAAGAUUAGAGAAGAUUGAGAAUAUCUUAUGAGUAUUGAUUGUUGAAUGAGAUUGAUUUGAUUUGUAUAUUUGUAAUUCUCUACAACUAGUGGAUCUUGUUUCUCAUCCGUGGACGUAGGUCAGUUGAAUCAAACCAUGUUAAAUUAUUGUCUCUUAUGUGAUUGAUUGAUUGUUCGAUUAUGCUUUCAUUGGUAUGAUUGGAUUGAGUGGUAUUAGAGCUGUGGUAAUCUCUAACACUAAUAAGGUAAGCAAAUUGUUGAAAAAUGUGGCAACAACUAGCCGGCAAACUUGUAUAGUGUAAUCAAGAGAAAAUAAUGAAGAGUAGUUGAAAAAAUUGGGAGGUGAUGACGACAUUGAACCAUAAGCCAGUCAGAAAACAUAUAAUCGAAAAUAAUGUAACAGAUUGCAAACAUCCAACACCAAUGUCCAUGGCCGACCGAAUAUUCCAAAAUUUCUAUUUUAAUAACGCAAAUCAUGCUAGUAGUCUUCCAUUGUUCUAGACUUAUCAUAGUUUUUGUUUUGAUGAAGGAUCACCAAUUGAGCUUAACCUAAUUGGUUUAUACAGUCACCGCUACGAAAUACUAUUCAACAGGUAGGAAUCAAAUCCCAGCCCCUGCAAUCAGUUUGCUUAUCAUCUGCCGCAGCCUCUCUACAACAAAAAAAAAAGAAAAAAGGAGUACUAGUUAUUGUUUUAUACAAAUUUGGUUUUGAUAUUUAUUAGGUAUCCUAUGAAACAAACUUUCAGUCAUUUAUGGCAGUUUCUAUUUCACACAGUUUCCUAUGGCUAUUGGUCAUAUUUCUAUUACUAUUUUACUAGUAAACUAUAAUUCAAAAUGAAGUUCCUAUGUAUAUUUGAGGAAAAAAACUGGCAUUUUCCAUAUAAUUCGAAGACAUAAUGCUCGCUUGUUCAUGAUAUCAAUAUUUCGGGUUAUAAAUUAUCGUGAUGGAGUUAACUUUGAUCAGACUUCAAUAUUCUUCAGAGCAGAAUGUACCAUAAAAGUUGCGUAAGGUUCGGUCAGUUGCUUGAUAGACAUCUGCUUAAACCAUAUAUCCAGGAAAUGGUUUGCUUAUCAUUUGCAAUAGUUAUAUGGUGACAAUCCCAGUAGCCGUUGUUCUGACUAAUCCAUUGGCGUCAAGGAAGGCCCUGAACUUGAAGCUGGGUAAAAAAUACUUGCUACUGAAAUGCCAAGAGAUUGAAGGGUCAUGGCCCAUAAUUCUUUCAGGUACCUAUGAAGAUCAGUUGAUUGUCUGAAAUAUAUUCCAUGCACUAUUUGUAAUCCUAGGAUUUUCCAGAUUCAAUUUUAUGAAACUAGGAUUGAUUAAAUGUCUCUCUAAAUCUUCUUUGAAGCAUUGGGUCUUUGACUCUUAUGAACAAAUUUAGUGUAUUCUGGAUUCUGGCAAACAAGUUUGGAACUUUCCUAAACUUGCAUGAAACAUAAAAUCAACUAAUUAUGGAAAUCCUCUGAUAUUUUGCAUAAAUUCACAUGGCUGAUUCCGAGUCCUUAAUUAAAGUAUCUUCCAAAGGGUGCUUUCAAUGAGAUCUUUCUAAAAGUUGAGAUUGGGCCCUAAUUUGGAACAAGCUGUAAUAACAUAAAAAAAAUCCAACACAAGGAGGAUUCGAUCAGCAGAGAUGCAAAAGCAACAUAAAGUUUUUAUGCAUUGAUUCUGUGUUAACUUUAUGGAAAAGAAGUGCUAAAAACAAGUUUAUAUCCGACAACCUGCAGUUGGCAAAAAUUAUGAGUAAAUCAUAAUUUGCCAUCACAAGUUGCCAUUUCCUUGAAAUUAACAUUUAUUAAAAAAAAAUUUUGACGUUGCAGGUUAACAUUUAGUAAGUUUAUAGAAAUAUAGAAAGUGCACAAAAUAUCAUCAAAUAUAAACUCAAAAACAGUUUUGCAUAGUCUUCUUCAUAUAUCUUUUUCUUUUUUAAAUUCAUUAGUUUCAAUAGUGAAAUAAUUUAAUUUAUGUCUGGAGUUGUUGCAAACAGCCGGGAAUUUUGUCGGCUAAAACUCAAUUCAUUCUUGUAGUUAGCAUGGUCUAAGAAGUGUUAAUAAGACAAAAACUAAUGCUAGAUUUAAGGCUUCUGAUUUUGUCUCCAAUCAAUAUAUUAUAUGGUCUCAGUUGAUAAAGUCUGUUCUCACAUGUUCCUUGAUCCUCAAUCAUAUAUCAGGACAUUCUUAAUUUCUUACAAGUGCAAUUAAACAAGCAUGCUAUACUGAAAAUUUCCUGGUCUUUUGAUCGCUUCAGUUAGCGAAAAAUGAACGGGGCUACUUUGAAUUGAAUUGACCUCUGAGAACUGUUCCUUGAUAUUCAUAGCCGACUUGAUAUUCAAAAAAUUUUUUAGAGUAAUGACUUGAAUUUUGCCUGGUUAGGCUUUCACACAUGACAGAAAAGUAAACUUGAAGGCUUCUGUUACCUCAAAGACUUUGAAUCAAAUUUUUGUGAGUGAUAACACGGUUUUAUUCAAUACUAGUUUGUUCAUACAUAAAAUGAUCUCAGAUCACAAGGAGAGAGGAGACUGGACUAUGGAGAGGUCCAUUAUCUACCAGCCUGUUUAUUGUACGAUAGUACCAUAAUAAGUAGAAUAAUAUGAUUUGGCUUUUAAGUUACUUGUUAACCUGAUCCGAAUCGGGACUGAAGAUAGGUAACUGCUGUCUUGUCCAACUGGAAGGCCUUCACGAGAACAUUCGGAUUGAUUGUUGGGUUUGAGCCAAAGACUGAAUCAGCAAUAGUGACAGCCCCUGCAUUUUGGCUGCUGAGACCAGCAAAGGCAACAGCCUUAGUUUCCCCUAUAUUGAACUGGAAGUGAAUCAAACCGAUCGGGAAAACAAAAACAUCUCCAGGGUAUAGGACUUUAGUGAAGAGACGGUUUUCUGGGUUGGAUGUAACAAAGCCAACGUAAAGUGUGCCCUCUACAACAACUAGGAUCUCAGUUCCUUGAGGGUGAGUGUGAGGAGGGUUUAGGCCACCAUAAGGCGCAUAGUCGAUUCGAACCAGAGAUAUGUCAAGAGUGUUAAGUCCUGGUAUUUGGUCAACAUUGACAGCAGUGACAUUUGAUCCAACUAGAUUUGAUGUGUUUCCUGGCUUGUUGAGGCCUGAAUAGAAGAAGUCAUCUGCUACUGUAAGCUUCGGGUCCUUGCAGAAGUUCCCGUUUACAAACACUGCAGGAAAGAAAUGUUAGUUGAUAUAUAUCAUCUCAUGCAACAGUAGCGUACCUUUCGGCAAUGUUAUUAUAUUAAAAUAUUGCUCCUAAGCUGAAUGUCCUUCAGCUCAGGCAUUAUUAGCAUCAUGUUCAUGAACAAUAAAGUAAAGUUGACGCAGACGAAUGCCUACCGCCAUCCUUGGUGUCAUUGAUAGCCACACAAAAGUCGUGGAGAGGACUCGUGUCAAAGGCCGAGGCUAAUGAGCAAGCAAAAGCCAAGAGGGCAUAAGCAGCAAGGAUAGAGUGCAUUCCUUUCAUUAUAGGAUAUACCGGCAAUGUUUUAUCUGACUUUGCUAGUUGUUUGCUAUUGUUUUGAAGAAGAGUGGGAAACUUUGCAGGACAGACAGCUAUUUAUAGAUGGAAACCAAUGACCUGGGUCCCUAUUUUCCAUAACUAACAGGUAAAGACUUUUCAAGAGCAAUCAUUUUCAAGUACUCUCAGCAAAUUUAUCCUGGUUUAUUACUAAUUCUAUGUAGGCAUAUGCUUAAAAUGCUGAAAAAUGGCCGUGAAAGUUGUCAUGCCUCUGUCUAUGGUGUUUUUGCAGUGUCGGUUGGAUUUGAAAGUCAGACAAUGAGAUUGAAAAGAAUCCAAUCUUCUGUUGUUUGUCUCCGAAUUCUACACUCUUUACUUUAUGGUAGGGGUGUAAUCGAGCAAAUUUAAAUCGAUACAAUAUUAAGUUCGAGCUUGAGCUUGAUUUCAAAUUCGAGGCUUGAAACUUAACUCAAACUUAAUCGAAUUUUAUUUUUUUAGUUUGAACUCGACUGGAGAUAAAAAUUGAGUUACUCGAACUCGCUUGAUUAAAUUCGAUUAACAUAUAAAAAUAAGUUUGAUUCUUAUAUUUGACAAAAGCUUGAUUAUUUGUAUUUGAGCUGUAUUUUAUCAAUUAAAAUAAUUAAAAAAUAAAAACUUGAUUAGGCUUGUGAACUACUCGAGCCGGAUAUAAGAAUGCUUGAACUCGGUUCGAUUGAUAAAUCGAGCUACUCGAACUUGAUUUGAUAAUAACUAAACCGAAUUCAAAUUUUAUUCGAGUCGAACCCGACUAAUUUGUGAGUACGAAUAUAUUAUUUAUACUCCUACUUUAUGGGCUCUUACCUUUUAUCCAAUGCAAUGCCUCAAAAAUAUCUAUCAUCCUGACUUUUCACCACACAAGUUGAAUGUUAUAACUUAUUUGUCAGUACAAUAAGUUAAAAUUGCAUAUAAUUUUCUACCUUAUCUUGCUAUGAAUGAUGGCAAGACUUUUUGUUUCCCUUGGUGGUCUAUUUUUUCUCUUUAAUUCAAUUAAGGUAAUAAAUGUUCAUUUAUACUUUUAUUAUUUUGGUGCAACAGGCCAACAAAUUUUACAAUAUAGAACCAAUCAAGUGAUAUACGAAUAGCUUGAUUCAUGGAGCACAAAUGCAAUAAAUUAAUAUUAGGCUUAGUGCUUGUGAUUUUAUCUGGUCUAUUCUGACAUGUUCAUAGUUACUUAAGCUGUGACGUUUAUGCUUAUCACAUUGAAAACACAAAAUUUCUUUUAAGAUCAAUUAACCUUGCUCUACCCACAACACUUUUUACUAUUAGGCCACUUAGCAUAUCUGGAGUGGUGUAGAACUGGUGCUGGAAGAAAUGGUCUGAGAAUUUUGAAUAAUCUGUUGGAACUCUUCUGAUUGAACACACCUUGAGUAUUGAAUAUUAUACACAGGCUUACUCUAUGAACAUUGAACUUGAUGCUUUCUAUGUUCAUUGAACUAACCAGCAAAGCAGAUUGCUCAAAGAAAAUAGCCAAAUUACUUGCACAACUUGAUCCAGGAAAAUUAAGGAAGAGUUGUUAAAAGAUUAACGUUAAGCCACAAACAAUCCACAUUAAGCAAAAGAAAUCACAUGGUAAGGGGAUUGCAGCAUUUAAGACUGAUGUUCACAACCUACCUAACUUUAAGAAAUUUCUUUCACGUGGCAAAUAAGUAAACGGUGCAUCAGAGUUUUGCUAUUUUUAAGGGUUGUCGGUGAGAUUAGUUCGGGUAAUAUUGAAAACAGCAAUUGAGAUGAGAUUAAUUAUUAUAGUGGUGAAAUUGAUUACUGUUAUAGUAAAAUUAAAAUCGAGAAUAAAAAAUGACUGUUAUAGUUUCUUGUCUUUGUACCGUUGAUCGGAGGGUAAAAAGGAAAAAAAAGAAGAUGAUGCAGGGGUACAAAGGGGAAGAAGGGCUGCGGUGGAGAGAAUGUUUCUAACUGGUGCCUUAAGGUCCAGUGACGAUUGGCACCUCCAGCACGGCCAGAGAAACUUCAAUCGUACCGAAGCAUGAGAUCAAAACCUACUACAGAGGCAGUUGAAGCUUCAAAUCGUGCCGCCUCGCUGAUAAUCGAUGAUCCAAAUUGAGCCUAAGACCAUUUCCCCUCUUCGUUUAAAAUGAUCACCAGUAAUUGUUCAAGACAAGUUUAGUCUACUUUACACAGGUUUAUUCAUAUUCUGUUCUAUGGAGAUAGGG